UACAGAGACUGCGAGCGUUAUUCGGAUUCACUGGGCGUAAAGGGCGCGUAGGCGGGUCGUUAAGUUAGAGGUGAAAGCCCAGGGCUCAACCCUGGAAUUGCCUUUAAUACUGUCGACCUUGAGUAUGGCAGAGGUGUGUGGAACUCCGAGUGUAGAGGUGAAAUUCGUAGAUAUUCGGAAGAACACCAGUGGCGAAGGCGACACACUGGGCCAUUACUGACGCUGAGGAGCGAAAGCGUGGGGAGCGAACAGG
rnacentral:rRNA from 1 species